UACGGGGGGGGGCAAGCGUUGUUCGGAAUUACUGGGCGUAAAGCGCGUGUAGGCUGCUUCGCAAGUCGGAUGUGAAAGCCCUGGGCUCAACCCAGGAAGUGCAUUCGAAACUGCAGAGCUGGAGUCCUGGAGAGGAAGGCGGAAUUCUCGGUGUAGAGGUGAAAUUCGUAGAUAUCGAGAGGAACACCGGUGGCGAAGGCGGCCUUCUGGACAGUGACUGACGCUGAGACGCGAAAGCGUGGGGGAGCAAACAGG
rnacentral:rRNA from 1 species